rnacentral:rRNA from 1 species
GUGUCAGCAGCCGCGGUAAAACGUAGGAGGCGAGCGUUAUCCGGAUUUACUGGGUGUAAAGCGCGUGCAGGCGGUUUCUCAAGUGGUGCGUGAAAGCGCCCGGCUCAACCGGGCGAGGCCGUGCCAAACUGGGGAACUGGAGGUAGGUAGAGGCGGGUGGAAUUCCGGGUGUAGUGGUGAAAUGCGUAGAGAUCCGGAGGAACACCAGAGGCGAAGGCGACCCGCUGGGCCUGACCUGACGCUCAGACGCGAAAGCAUGGGGAGCGAACGGGAUUAGAUACCCGCGUAGUCC